GACGAACGCUGGCGGCGUGCCUAACACAUGCAAGUCGAGCGGAAAUAAUUAAAGUUUACUUUGAUUAUUUUAGCGGCGGACGGGUGAGUAACACGUGGGCAACCUGCCCUUGAGAGGGGGAUAACACAGAGAAAUUUGUGCUAAUACCGCAUAACAUUUAGACUUCGCCUGGAGUUUAAAUCAAAGGAGGAAUCCGCUCAAGGAUGGGCCCGCGGCGCAUUAGCUAGUUGGUGAGGUAAUGGCUCACCAAGGCGACGAUGCGUAGCCGACCUGAGAGGGUGAUGGGCCACAUUGGAACUGAGACACGGUCCGGACUCCUACGGGAGGCAGCAGGGGGGAAUAUUGCGCAAUGGGGGAAACCCUGACGCAGCAACGCCGCGUGAGCGAUGAAGGCCUUCGGGUUGUAAAGCUCUGUCUUUGGGGACGAUAAUGACGGUACCCAAGGAGGAAGCCACGGCUAACUACGUGCCAGCAGCCGCCGUAAAAC
rnacentral:rRNA from 1 species